CGCCUCAGCUCGCUUGGAACCUGGACGGAGCCCUGAUGCACAUUCAUGCGUCAGAGAAGAACACAGAGACAUUUGACCCAAAGCCAGUUGUUGACCUGUGGAUGGAGACAGCAAAUCGAAGGCUCAACCAGGGACAAAGAGCAUGAUCAUCAUCUACAAUUGAAGAAGCUGAAGCAGAGGACAGUGAAGGAGGACAGGGAGGAAGACUGCACUUACUAGACCAUGCUACGUGUGGGGAAGUCUGUAAAUGCACUGUGAUCAUUUCCUGUCCCACACAGUUGUUGACACUACCUGACCAA